CGCGUAGGCGGCUGGGUAAGUCGGAUGUGAAAUCCCCGGGCUUAACCUGGGAACUGCACUCGAUACUGCCCGGCUAGAGUAUGGUAGAGGGAAGCGGAAUUCCGGGUGUAGCGGUGAAAUGCGUAGAUAUCCGGAGGAACACCAGUGGCGAAGGCGGCUUCCUGGACCAAUACUGACGCUGAGGUGCGAAAGCGUGGGGAUCAAACA
rnacentral:rRNA from 1 species